rnacentral:rRNA from 1 species
GGGACCUAAGGCGAGGCCGAGAGGCGUAGCCGAUGGACAACAGGUUGAGAUUCCUGUACUACAGUAUGACAGAACUGUGGGGACGCAGAAGGAGAGCACUACCUGGAAUGGAAUCCAGGGGCAAGCACAGGAGGGGUACGGCUGGAAAAACCGCCGUGCAACCCAAAGGUGUGACGCAUACCGAACUAAAGUAGGGAAAUGUGUGAGCCGGCUGCCGAGAAAAGCCGCUAUUGUUUGUACUGUACCCGUACCGUAAACCGACACAGGUGGAUGAGGAGAGAAUCCUAAGGCCGACGGAAGAAGCAUUGCUAAGGAACUCGGCAAAAUGACCCUGUAACUUCGGGAGAAAGGGUGCCUCGAAAGAGGCCGCAGAGAAUAGGCCCAAGCAACUGUUUAGCAAAAACACAGGUCUAUGCAAAACCGCAAGGUGAAGUAUAUGGGCUGACGCCUGCCCGGUGCUGGAAGGUUAAGGGGAGAUGUCAGGAGACGAAGCAUCGAACUUAAGCCCCAGUAAACGGCGGCCGUAACUAUAACGGUCCUAAGGUAGCGAAAUUCCUUGUCGGGUAAGUUCCGACCCGCACGAAAGGCGUAAUGAUUUGGGCGCUGUCUCGGCAAUGCAUCCGGUGAAAUUGAAGUGCCAGUGAAGAUGCUGGCUACCCGCGCCAGGACGGAAAGACCCCAUGGAGCUUUACUCCAGCUUGAUACUGGGAUUCGGUAUUGUAUGUACAGGAUAGGUGGGAGGCUGAGAAAUGGUGACGCCAGUCGCCAUGGAGCCGCUGUUGGGAUACCACCCUUGCAGUACUGGAUUUCUAACCAGCAGCCGUGAUCCGGCUGGGGGACAAUGUCAGGUGGGGAGUUUGACUGGGGCGGUCGCCUCCGAAAGGGUAUCGGAGGCGCUCAAAGGUUCCCUCAGAAUGGUCGGAAACCAUUCGAAGAGUGCAAAGGCAGAAGGGAGCUUGACUGCGACACCGACGGGUGGGGCAGGUACGAAAGUAGGACUUAGUGAUCCGGUGGUAUUAAGUGGGAAUGCCAUCGCUCAACGGAUAAAAGCUACCCUGGGAUAACAGGCUUAUCACUCCCAAGAGUUCACAUCGACGGAGUGGUUUGGCACCUCGAUGUCGGCUCAUCGCAUCCUGGGGCUGUAGUAGGUCCCAAGGGUUGGGCUGUUCGCCCAUUAAAGCGGUACGCGAGCUGGGUUCAGAACGUCGUGAGACAGUUCGGUCCCUAUCCGGCGUGGGCGUAGGAUAUUUGAGAGGAGCUGACCUUAGUACGAGAGGACCGGGUUGGACUGACCUCUGGUGCACCGGUUGUCAUGCCAAUGGCACAGCCGGGUAGCCAAGUCGGGAAGGGAUAAACGCUGAAGGCAUCUAAGCGUGAAGCCCCCCUCAAGAUGAGAUAUCCCCCGCAUAAGCGGUAAGACCCCUUGAAGACGACGAGGUAGAUAGGGCAGAGGUGGAAGUGCAGUAAUGUAUGGAGCUGACUGCUACUAAUAGGUCGAAGGCUUAACU